rnacentral:tRNA from 1 species
GGCUUAGUGGCCAAGUGGUGCAAAUGGUGCAGGGUUAAAAUCCCAGUGCUCUCUACAUAUGCCUUGACGACGAUGCUUCUGCACUGAUGAGUCGUGUCAAGGGCUUGUGGUAAGCCAGUGCCGCCCACAGCAAGGCCCUUGGCUGCAGCACCCCUGGAGGUCAUGGGUUCAAAUCCCACCUGGCUUG